rnacentral:rRNA from 1 species
AUGGCCAUGGAGGAGCUGCUGCAGAGGCUGCUGGACUCGGCACACAACGCCGAGGACUUGCUGGACGAGCUGGACUACUUCCGCAUCCACGACGAGCUAUAUCAUACAUACGAUGCUGCUGACCAGCACGGCAAGGGUUGUGUCUGCAACCUCGCCCUCAAUGCUCGCCAUACCGCCAAAGCUCUUGCCAAACAGCUGUCAUCCUUGUCUGCGUACUGCUUUGGUGCCAACACUGGUGGUGAUCACCGGCAGGGAGUUGCAAGACAACAUGUCAUUUGUUGUGCUUGGCCGUGUGGCAGGCAGAGACUACCUGUCGAUUCCUCCUCGCCGCCAAACGCCAAUCAGGCUGGUCAGGAGCUCAGUGGAUGCAUGCCAAAGCUCGGUAAAAUCCUCCCUUGCGCAUCUUCCCCGCAUCCACAUGUUCAUGGUGAUGAAGUUGGUGCCAGUGUGCAAGAAACACCAAUGCAUGAGUUUAAUAGGGUCGAUUUCUCCCAAAGGAUGAAGGACACUGUAGAGCAACUAAAGCUUAUGCGCAACGAGGUUACCAAGAUUCUGCAAGGUUGUGACCCUAGAACCAUCCCAGACAUUGCCCAGAGCCGUCCCAUCACCAAAGGUCGAAUUGAUGAGCCAAAACUGUACGGGAGGGAGACUGUCAUGAAUAGCAUCAUACAUGAUAUCACCAAGGGUCAAUACACCAAGGGUCUAACUGUGCUUCCGGUUGUUGGUCCUGGGGGAAUGGGAAAGACAACUCUGAUACAACACAUAUAUCGCAACCAACAGGUGCAGAAUCAUUUUCCAGUCAGGAUUUGGAUGUGUGUGUCAUUCAAUUUCAAUCUGGAUAAGGUGCUAGAACAGAUUGAAGUAGGUACUCGUCCAGUUGAAAGUGAAAAGGAGGGCAGUACAACUGAAAAGUUGAUUGAAGAAAGAUUGAAAUCUAAAAGGUUCUUACUUGUAUUGGAUGAUAUAUGGCAGAUUAGUGAUGUGGGUGACUGGGAAAAACUCCUGUCGAUACUCAACCAAUCACAAGAAAAGGGUUCCAUGGUUCUAGUCACAACUCGGUUUCGAGCAAUAGCACAGGUGGUUAAAACAACUGGCCAUUCAAUAGAACUGGAUGGUUUAAAUUCUGGAGAGUUUAGAAAGUUGUUUCUCACAUUUGUCUUUGGCGAUGAGCAAUGUCCAAGGGACAAACAUUUUCUGCUUGAGACCGGAGAUAAGAUAAUGGAAAAACUAAAGGGCUCCCCUCUUGCAGCAAGGACUGUUGGCAGAUUACUGAGUAAAGAACAUAGUUUGGGGCAUUGGAAAAGGGUCCUAAACAGUAAAGAAUGGGAAAAGCAAACCAAUGGAAUUAUGUCUGCCUUGAGGCUUAGCUAUGACUUUCUCCCUUUCCAUCUGCAACAAUGUUUUUCCUAUUCUGCAUUGGUUCCUGAAGAUGUAUAUCUCAGAAGCUAUGAUCUCAUCAGCCUGUGGAUCGGACUAGAUAUUUUGAUACCUAGUGAUCAAAAUCAAACAUCUGAAGAUAUAGGUUUGAGCAAUUUAAAUGAGUUAGUCAAUUAUGGAUUUUUCAGGGAAGAUAUAGGUCAGCGGUAUGUUAUGCAUGACCUACUACACGAUUUGGCAUUGAAGGUUGCAUCGCAUGAUUGUCUUUGUUUACGUCUCCCUAAUGUUGGAUCAGUGGUAAUUCAGCCAACCACCCGUCACUUGUCUAUAAGCACACAUGACUUAGGCAAAUAUGAUGCAGUGUCAGGUGAAAAAUUAAGAAGUGAAUUGGAAGAACUGAAGACAAAAUUGAAGGUUGAACAUUUGCACACAUUGGUGUUAUUGGGUAAAAUGGAUGGAAGUUUUGCCAAGAUAUUUGGUGAUUUUUUUUUGGAAGCAAAUGCUCUUCGUGUUCUUUAUUUGUUUGACAUGAUGUAUCCCAUGGAGUUCAUGUUACAUAACUUUUCAAGACUUGUCCACCUACGAUUCCUAUGUCUAGGGACAUGUGACAGAGAGAUGCAUUUACCACUCAACAUCUCUAAAUUUUAUCAUUUAAGGGUUCUAGAUCUUGAGCAAUGGUGUGGGAGUUCUGAUUUGCCCAGAGCCAUGAGCAAUCUUGCAAAACUGUGCCAUAUUCAUGCCAGAAGUGAGCUUCAUUCAGAUAUUUAUAAUGUGGGAAAACUUAAACUCUCACAAGAGUUGAAGGUAUUUCGAGUCAAUAAAAAAAGUGAAGGAUUUGAAGCAAAGCAACUAGAGCAUUUAAGCAAGCUCAGGGAGCUUGGCAUCUACAACCUUGAGAAAAUACACACAGAAGAAGAAGCAGCUCAAGCAAAACUUAUAGAGAAAAACUACCUGAGGAGGUUAACAUUGGACUGGGAUAGUGAACGAUCUAGUGUUGAGCCUGGUGUGGAAGCAGCGGUUCUUGAGAGCCUUCAGCCACAUGGAGAUCUUCAGGUGUUGUGCAUUAGAGGGCACGGAGGUCCUUCUUGUCCAACAUGGUUAGGUGAUGAGUUCGCUGUUGAAGUUCUGCAAUCUCUUUAUCUGGAUGGUGUUUCUUGGGAAGUUUUCCCUUCUUUAGGGAAGGCGUGGGAUCUUCAUGAAAUAAGGUUGGAGAAUAUUGCCAGACCGAAGGAGUUUAUUAUAGAGGAAUGCUUUUGCAGGCUAAUAAAGCUUAAACUCAUUGGCCUAGGAAGUUUUGAAAAAUGGCUUUACCCAGCUGAACAAGAGUCUUCCCUGGGUGAACCAGAUGCUUAUGUUCCCUCUUUUGCAAGUUCUGGUUAUUAG